rnacentral:rRNA from 1 species
UGUGAACUCGAAGAGUAGGGCGGGACACGUGGUAUCCUGUCUGAAUAUGGGGGGACCAUCCUCCAAGGCUAAAUACUCCUGACUGACCGAUAGUGAACCAGUACCGUGAGGGAAAGGCGAAAAGAACCCCGGCGAGGGGAGUGAAAAAGAACCUGAAACCGUGUACGUACAAGCAGUGGGAGCACCUUCGGGUGUGACUGCGUACCUUUUGUAUAAUGGGUCAGCGACUUAUAUUCUGUAGCAAGGUUAACCGUAUAGGGGAGCCGCAGGGAAACCGAGUCUUAACUGGGCGUUAAGUUGCAGGGUAUAGACCCGAAACCCGGUGAUCUAGCCAUGGGCAGGUUGAAGGUUGGGUAACACUAACUGGAGGACCGAACCGACUAAUGUUGAAAAAUUAGCGGAUGACUUGUGGCUGGGGGUGAAAGGCCAAUCAAACCGGGAGAUAGCUGGUUCUCCCCGAAAGCUAUUUAGGUAGCGCCUCGUGAAUUCAUCUUCGGGGGUAGAGCACUGUUUCGGCUAGGGGGUCAUCCCGACUUACCAACCCGAUGCAAACUACGAAUACCGAAGAAUGUUAUCACGGGAGACACACGGCGGGUGCUAACGUCCGUCGUGAAGAGGGAAACAACCCAGACCGCCAGCUAAGGUCCCAAAGUCAUGGUUAAGUGGGAAACGAUGUGGGAAGGCACAGACAGCCAGGAUGUUGGCUUAGAAGCAGCCAUCAUUUAAAGAAAGCGUAAUAGCUCACUGGUCGAGUCGGCCUGCGCGGAAGAUGUAACGGGGCUAAACCAUGCACCGAAGCUGCGGCAGCGACACUAUGUGUUGUUGGGUAGGGGAGCGUUCUGUAAGCCUGCGAAGGUGACCUGUGAGGGUUGCUGGAGGUAUCAGAAGUGCGAAUGCUGACAUAAGUAACGAUAAAGCGGGUGAAAAGCCCGCUCGCCGGAAGACCAAGGGUUCCUGUCCAACGUUAAUCGGGGCAGGGUGAGUCGACCCCUAAGGCGAGGCCGAAAGGCGUAGUCGAUGGGAAACAGGUUAAUAUUCCUGUACUUGGUGUUACUGCGAAGGGGGGACGGAGAAGGCUAUGUUAGCCGGGCGACGGUUGUCCCGGUUUAAGCAUGUAGGCUGGUUGUCCAGGCAAAUCCGGAUAAUCAAGGCUGAGGUGUGAUGACGAGGCACUACGGUGCUGAAGUAACAAAUGCCCUGCUU